UUAGUGGCGCACGGGCGCGUAACGCGUGGGAAUCUGCCCCUUGGUUCGGAAUAACAGUUGGAAACGACUGCUAAUACCGGAUGAUGACGUAAGUCCAAAGAUUUAUCGCCGAGGGAUGAGCCCGCGUAGGAUUAGGUAGUUGGUGUGGUAAAGGCGCACCAAGCCGACGACCCUUAGCUGGUCUGAGAGGAUGAUCAGCCACACUGGGACUGAGACACGGCCCAGACUCCUACGGGAGGCAGCAGUGGGGAAUAUUGGACAAUGGGCGAAAGCCUGAUCCAGCAAUGCCGCGUGAGUGAUGAAGGCCUUAGGGUUGUAAAGCUCUUUUACCCGGGAUGAUAAUGACAGUACCGGGAGAAUAAGCUCCGGCUAACUCCGUGCCAGCAGCCGCGGUAAUACGGAGGGAGCUAGCGUUAUUCGGAAUUACUGGGCGUAAAGCGCACGUAGGCGGCUUUGUAAGUAAGAGGUGAAAGCCCAGAGCUCAACUCUGGAAUUGCCCUUUAGACUGCAUCGCUUGAAUCAUGGAGAGGUCAGUGGAAUUCCGAGUGUAGAGGUGAAAUUCGUAGAUAUUCGGAAGA
rnacentral:rRNA from 1 species